rnacentral:rRNA from 1 species
UACGAAGGGGGCUAGCGUUGCUCGGAAUCACUGGGCGUAAAGGGUGCGUAGGCGGGUCUUUAAGUCAGGGGUGAAAUCCUGGAGCUCAACUCCAGAACUGCCUUUGAUACUGAAGAUCUUGAGUUCGGGAGAGGUGAGUGGAACUCCGAGUGUAGAGGUGAAAUUCGUAGAUAUUCGGAAGAACACCAGUGGCGAAGGCGACUCACUGGCCCGAUACUGACGCUGAGGCGCGAAAGCGUGGGGAGCAAACAGG